rnacentral:rRNA from 1 species
UGGGGAAUUUUGGACAAUGGGCGAAAGCCUGAUCCAGCAAUGCCGCGUGUGUGAAGAAGGCCUUCGGGUUGUAAAGCACUUUUGUCCGGAAAGAAAUCCUUGGCUCUAAUACAGUCGGGGGAUGACGGUACCGGAAGAAUAAGCACCGGCUAACUACGUGCCAGCAGCCGCGGUAAUACGUAGGGUGCAAGCGUUAAUCGGAAUUACUGGGCGUAAAGCGUGCGCAGGCGGUUUGCUAAGACCGAUGUGAAAUCCCCGGGCUCAACCUGGGAACUGCAUUGGUGACUGGCAGGCUAGAGUAUGGCAGAGGGGGGUAGAAUUCCACGUGUAGCAGUGAAAUGCGUAGAGAUGUGGAGGAAUACCGAUGGCGAAGGCAGCCCCCUGGGCCAAAUACUGACGCUCAUGCACGAAAGCGUGGGGAGCAAACAGGAUUAGAUACCCUGGUAGUCCACGCCCUAAACGAUGUCAACUAGUUGUUGGGGACUUCAUUUCCUUAGUAACGUAGCUAACGCGUGAAGUUGACCGCCUGGGGAGUACGGUCG